rnacentral:lncRNA from 1 species
CCUUGCCCUGGCUCUGCUCGUCCCUCAGCUGAGCUUCAAUCGCCGCUUUAAAGGGCGCAGCUGCGGCUUCUUCCCGGUGGGUUUCUCCCAUUCCGGUCACGUCCUCCCGGCUCGCUCUCCGUGCUCGGAAUGCCCCGCUCCUCACGUUAAGCAGAGCCACAAAGGCUCCUGGGCCUCCCCGGGGGGACCUCCACGACAAAAAGGUGACCGUGCCACCCGCGGGGUGUCCUUUGGGGGAGCAGGUUCGGGAUGCUCAGGCAGCGCUCACCUUCCUGCCGGCUGCCAAAGCGGGACAUCCACUCGGGGAUGUCAUUCCCCGCCACGUGUGCUCGGGAGAAGGGGUGUGACAGCGCGGGGAGCCCGUGGUGACACUUGGGUGUCCCCAGGAGUGGCCCUUUGCUGCCGGCCCUGCUUCAUCCCGCUCCUCCUGGAUCCAGCUGUGCCGCUCCUGCCACCGCACCUGGCUCGGGGCAGAGCCCCGUGUCACACCACCGCCUCUCUGCCCCUAUUCUCGUUGCCGUCUCACUCGUGCCAACCUUUAUUUCCCCUCCCCAGCCCCCCGCGGGAAGUUCUUAAACCUCUGCCCAGCUGCGGCUUUUCCCACCUCCCGCAGGGGACAAAACCACGGACGCCCGCGCCUUCCCCUCACCGAGGGGAAGGAGGAAAACCCAAAAAAACGACCCCCAAAACCCCCCGUAAAAGCUGCGCCGGAGCCCAGGUAUGUGGGAGGGUUCUAGUCCGUCACGCCCUCCCCGCGUCACUGGCUGCGGGCUCGCAGCCUUUUGUAAGCGGGGAGAUGCAGCUGUCAGCCGAGCCCGGCUCGCUCCCGGACUAGGAAUGGGCAGGGGGAGGUCGCCUGUUGCCCUCCUGGUGGCCCUGUGGCUCAGCCAGCUGGGCGCGGGGGCAGCGGGGCGCCCCAAGGUGAACCCCAGGAUCAUCGCGGCUCCCCAAGGUGAGUCCCGGGCUGCGCCCUCGGGAUGCGGCUGCUCCCGGCGCCGGCUCCUUCCUACCUGGGGCUCGUCCUUGGAGCACUCGGGCUAUU